rnacentral:rRNA from 1 species
UACGUAGGGGGCCAGCGUUGUCCGGAAUUACUGGGCGUAAAGGGCGCGUAGGCGGCCUUCUAAGUCGAGCGUGAAAUCCCCGGGCUCAACCCGGGAACUGCGUCCGAUACUGGGAGGCUUGAAUCCGGGAGAGGGAUGUGGAAUUCCAGGUGUAGCGGUGAAAUGCGUAGAUAUCUGGAGGAACACCGGUGGCGAAGGCGGCAUCCUGGACCGGUAUUGACGCUGAGGCGCGAAAGCCAGGGGAGCAAACGGG